UACGGGGGGGGCAAGCGUUGUUCGGAAUUACUGGGCGUAAAGGGCUCGUAGGCGGCCAACUAAGUCAGACGUGAAAUCCCUCGGCUUAACCGGGGAACUGCGUCUGAUACUGGAUGGCUGGAGUUUGGGAGAGGGAUGCGGAAUUCCAGGUGUAGCGGUGAAAUGCGUAGAUAUCUGGAGGAACACCGAUGGCGAAGGCAGGUCUCUGGGCCACUACUGACGCUGAGAAGCGAAAGCAUGGGGAGCGAACAGG
rnacentral:rRNA from 1 species